CUAUGGGGGGCUGCAGUGGGGAAUAUUGCACAAUGGAGGAAACUCUGAUGCAGCAACGCCGCGUGGAGGAUGACACUUUUCGGAGCGUAAACUCCUUUUAUAUAGGAAGAUAAUGACGGUACUAUAUGAAUAAGCACCGGCUAACUCCGUGCCAGCAGCCGCGGUAAUACGGAGGGUGCAAGCGUUACUCGGAAUCACUGGGCGUAAAGAGCGUGUAGGCGGGUUAAUAAGUCAGAAGUGAAAUCCUAUGGCUCAACCAUAGAACUGCUUUUGAAACUGUUAACCUAGAGUGUGGGAGAGGUAGAUGGAAUUUCUGGUGUAGGGGUAAAAUCCGUAGAGAUCAGAAGGAAUACCGAUUGCGAAGGCGAUCUACUGGAACAUAACUGACGCUGAGACGCGAAAGCGUGGGGAGCAAACAGGAUUAGAUACCCGCGUAGUC
rnacentral:rRNA from 1 species